rnacentral:misc_RNA from 1 species
GAUGAAGAACGCAGCGAAACGCGAUAGUUAAUGUGAAUUGCAGAAUUCAGUGAAUCAUCGGGUCUUUGAACGCACAUUGCGCCCAUUGGUAUUCCGUUGGGCAUGUCUGUUUGAGCGUCAUUACAACAGUUCAGCGUAAGCUGGUUAUGAGUUCUGUUUUUUUAAACAAAAAACAGGCUUUAAAAUGUAUGUUCUGCAGGUCGCUUUGCUAAACCCUAAACAUUAAAUACUGUUCUAGUGAAGCAUUUGCGACUCUGCCUGAAAAAAAACUUUUGUUAAAGUUUGACCUCAGAUCAGACAAGGAUACCCGCUGAACUUAAGCAUAUCAAUAAGCGGAGGA